CCAGUGUAAAUGGCUGACAAAGCAAAGUGAUGUGGAGUGAUCUAGGCGGAGAGCUCUGUUUCAGGAUGACAGAACAAGACUUGAAUUCCCAGUUGACACUGCUGACCAGUGAUCUGGAGUACAUACCCCCUCCAUUCCCUGCUUUGCAGAAGACACAAGAGGAAGAAGUGUGCUACAGAGAGAGAAGAACCGAGAUUGCACCACUUCCCUGUGCCCUGGAGCUGCUGGAGGAUUGGUUGAAUAACACUCAUAAAAACGGCUUCGAAAGCACCAGGAGAUAGGCAAAGGAGGACAAGAUGUUACAGCUGGCAUUGUCUCCACCUCCUUAGGAGUCAGUCAUGUGGCAUGCUCAGAAAUACCCGUGGUGGGUAGAGGGCACCCGAUCCACGGUGCCUGGGUGCAGUAGUGUGAAGGGGACGAUGCAUGCCCCACGCACAGGCACCCUUCUCUCUGCGCAGUGACCGUGCAGCUCCGCUGAGCGCUCACGGCUUUCCUCCUACACCAGCACCCGUGAGCACCACAGCUGCCAGAGCUCCAGCCUCUGCUGCUUCUCUUAUUUACACACUCAAAGAGCAGUCAGCCACAGCUGGGCAGAAAUAAGCCCCCCACAUGCCCACCCCUUGCCUGCCGGCCCUGACUCCAUGGCGCUGUGCCGGCGCCGCAGCCAGCCACAGCAACUCGGUGCUAAGCCCGGAGGGGCUGGAGAUAACAUUACCAAGGUAAAAUAUAACAGACAAAGUCGACAAAUGCCCUUUCAAAACAGCAGAGAGCAAGUCAAGUCAUUAGGCCAGCGGUCAGGAGGGGACAGAGUGCGAAGGUACCCUUAGCCUACCAAAGGCCAACUGCGGGCCAGCGGCAGGAGCCAAUGAGCGGUGGCUGGACCGGCGACACCCCGCGCUGCGCGGCUCCCGCCUUCGGUUUCACGUUGCAGCUGUCCCUGUUUGUGGAUGGGAAAAUGUUCUACAGAGCGCGCAGGGCCGGCGGUGAGAGGCAGCAGCAAAUGGGGCUGCUCCCGGUGACAACAUCCAUCGCCGCUGGUGCGUCCUCGCCGGGCCCCCACCUUGUAUCACAUACAGCCCCAGGGGGAGUCUGUGUGGAGGCCACCCUGGCAGCCACGGCCCCUGGGGUCUCAGGGGAGGAGGGCUCUCUGCUGGCUGUGUCUCUCUGACCUGGCGGUUAGGUAAACUGGGGGCAGCCAAAGGGGAAGUGCCUCUGAGGCUCUGCCAAAGUCCUCUCCUAAAGCAGUCUUAACUCAUGUGGGCUGCUAACUGGAGGCCCUGCUCCCCGCGGGGCAGCAGUGGUUGGCAGUGCCCUGACUCUGAGUUUCACUGACUUUCUCUGCUUGGCUCCUUUGCAGGAGCUCUGUUUUUCUUUCCCCUCAGCCCUGCAUGGCACCCAGCUCAGCGUCCUUCACCUCAAGUCACCGAGUGCAGGGACCUAGUAUCCCUUUUCUGCCACACUGUCUGUGUCCAGUGGCUCCUGACCAGCUGCAUUCGUGUGGGAGCUCCUGCCUCCUGCUCCAUUUGUGAUGUGAGUGCUCUAUGAUGGUUAAUGGUCACCAAAGAGUGAACCUCUGGAAAUGUACCACCGGGCAGCAUGGCCCCUCGUUCUGCACAACACUGGGUGGGAAAAUGCCCCUUGCUCUCAGUCUAACAUCCUCUAUGCCACAGGGCUGAGGAUGUGGCCUUUUGGCCUGGAAGGGACCUGUGAAACAAAAAGAGUGGGUUCAGAUGACAAGUGGAUGCUGGCUGAGUUCUUAGCUCUGAGCCCUAGCUCAUCCAGGAACUGGGACUGUGGCUAUGUUUAUUCUGCUCCAGCAACCCUGAGCAUCAUCAGAGAUUGAUGCUCCAGUGUUCCAGUAAAGCCCCUUUUGCAGGCACACAUGGGCACCAUGUGCCAUGGGAGAGAGCCCCAGCCCCCUCUCUGGAGACCACCUGGCAGAGGGUUACUCCCCAUUCCACAGCCACAACCUCAGCUUGCUGCAACCCUCUUUCCCUGGAGCAGUGACAGGCCCUUGGGCCGCUCUGGCAGCAUAUGGCCAGCAUCAAGGGUCGGGGGGAUGCACGCACACAGUGUAAUGUUCUACAGGGCUCCAGCCUGCCUGGUUCUACAGCCUGCUUCUCUCCAAAACCACAGCCUUGCAUGUGCUGAGGAGCUUAAGCCACACACUUAUGGCAGAGGAAACCUACAAAAAGAGAAAUGUGGAGGCAAAGGAGUAAGAAUGGGGCUAUUGGAAUAGAUGGGAAUUUCCUGGACCGAGCAGCAGAGGCCAGGCAGCUCAUCAGAGGGUAGAGAAGGCUCUUACAUGAUGGCUCAUGCUGCCCACCAGCUGUGUGGGCUGAUCGAGAAGACCAGGAUACCCAUUGACUCCUUAUGGCAUUUUAAGUGACUCAUUUGUCCACGGGAAGCAGCACACUCGCAGCAGCUGAGGCAGCCUGUCCUCCUCCCCAGGCUGUUCCAGCACAGCAGGGCCAGUCGGCCCCUUCUGCCCAGGGGCAAAAGCCUGGCAGCAGCUUGGGGCACCCUGUACUUCACUUUAUCUGGAGGAGGAAACCCCCUGUCAGAGACCCUUCACAGCAUUUUCUGCACUGCCUGACAUCCUGCCAUGGAGACCCAAGCCUUCCUCUUGCUAUUUCGCUGGCAGUGUCACCACAUGCUGCCCCAGAAGCAGCCUGGCACACUGGCACCAGCCAGCAUGCGACACGCAGGGACCAAAAGAUUCCUCACCAUACGGCACGUGUCUCUUGUGCUUACUCUUUUGCUCUGGCUGAGCUCAGCUUCCCCACUGCACUGUACUACUGGCAGCUCUCACGCUGCUCUGACAGUGUCUGUCAUAGCCUAUUCAUGUCACCCCACAGUCCUCUUGCUGGCUUGCCUGCCUCAUCCCUGCCUGUUGGGCUGAUUCUGGUUCUGGUGGCACUGCUUGGCCUCUCUUCCCUGGCUGGAAAGACAGCACCAGGAAUUGGGGUGUCUUCAUCCCCAUCAUCCUGUUUACAGACCUUCCUCUGCUCUGCUCCCCGGGAGGAGCAAGGGGCAGGGGGGAGGCUGGCCAAGACCCAGACUGAUGUCAUCCUCCUCAGACCCUGACCCUGAGAGGAUGACUCCUCCUGCCUUUCCCUGGGGGCUGCUCGGUGUCUGAGCACUGCCAUCAAUGUUUUCUCUUUUUUUCUUCUUAACUGCCUCCUGGAGAUGUGCCAUGAUCACCUAAACAGAUUCCAAUGCUCCUGCACCAGCAGAACCAGCCAAGGGGGAAAGCAGCAAAGGGAGCCAGUUUGGAACCCCAGUGCUGCCAAGCAAGGACUUGCUGUUCUUCAAACAGCCACUGCUGGCAGAGAUGUCCAUGGGCAUCUCCCCACCUGGUGGCUCCCAGCCCAGGGCAACUGCCAACCAGACUGCUCUCAUCUGUCCCCAGGUCCCCCGUCCUGCAGCAUGCCCUCCACACAGCUCCUGCUAUUCUUAACAGCUCUCCUCCAUGCAUCUCCCACAGCCACUGGCCAUUACCUUCCCCAGAUACUACAUCCCCAGGCUGGUCACCAGUGGUGGGAAGGGGCUCAUUGUCAGGUUUCAGCUCCCUUUGGCUACGGGCACUGGUUAUUAGUGCAGAAACCCUUCCAUAGAUGUCUCCUGCUGUUCUUGACAGCCUGGUGAGCAGAGCCACCCAUAGCAUUUUGGGGAGCAGUGGGGACAGGGUUGUGAGCUUGUGUCCUGGAGUCCAGUUUACCACAAAAUCCCUCUCCCUCUGUGGUUUGAAUGGGAGAAGAAAAGGUGUGAAAAACCUGUUUCCCACCCCCCACUCCCCUCCCCCCCACCUUGCAGGCGUGAAGCGGGGGAGAAAAGGGCCCUUCUGGCAUGAGGGGUGCCCCAUGCCCAUGCUGGAAUUGGGCUGGUGAUUGGUUGUGCUCUUUGCGCCUCGGAAGUGCCAACUCGACCCUUUGUCUAGGAAGAUCAUAAAUAUUGGGGUACUGCCCACCUUGGGGUUCCUGCCUUAGAGUUCUCCCCCACCUGGAUAGUUCCUGCAGAAAGAGUCCCCAUGCGCCCCGAAGGACAAGCUCCUGAGGGACAGGACCGUCCCUGCUUUGGAUGGCUUCCCACCACAAGCAGCCCCUUUUUGCAGGCUUGAUAGGCCUUAAUGAGCCUCGCAGGUGUGUGAAAGAGAGCAAGCAGACAAGCACCUGGAGUGCCCUUUCAGCCAGCCUUACUCACCUGUGGGUAAACUUUUGGUUCAGCCUGAUUAAUAGUGGGGAAUACUGUGCUUAGUAGCUUAGCCUUUUCCAACUCUUGACUUCCAGAAUAGUCAAAUUUACCUAUGGUAUCCUUGUAAGAUCUUCUCAAUCUAACUGAAUCUGCUGAUUAAAACAAAAUUGAUUUCUGCAUAUAGUUUUGGGGGUGGGUUUUGGGAAAAUAAAAUAACUCUAUUUUUCUAUA